GACAGAUUCCUGCCAGACCCUUCAGAGCAAGCACCCCACACCCCUAGCCCAGGGUCUCUUCCUCGAUAGGGGGUGAUCUGUCUGCCCCUCACUGUUUUCUCCAAAUAGAUUGUUUCUAACACUGCGCAUGCCUUUUGGAGACAAAUUUUAAAAAUAAACAUUAUUUUUAAAAGGAAACAAACAAAACCAAACAGAAGGGAGGCUGGGUUUCUUGGGGAUUUCGGGAGUGCCUGUGUCUCCACGACCCGGGCAGUGCUCUUCUGAGAGGCCUGAGGGCUGGGGAGGCAGAGAGAGCAACGACAGGCCACCAGCAUUGAGAAAGAAGGCCUCAAGGCCACAUUGAGAAGAACACUACGCUCUGGAGCACAGGCUGAGCCCUGCAUUCUUGACAUUGGAGCCCUUCGGGAGUGCCAGAACGAGCAGUUCCUCUCCUGGAGGAGCCUGCCUUCCCACCACGGAGGCUAACACCACAACAGCCACAGUGAGCCACCCCAUCUGCCCAUCUUCUUACGUGUCAAGCACUGUGUUCAGUGCCUUCACAGGUAACUUCGAUAAGUCACCAUGGACAUGCUGCGAUUAAGUUGGUACUGAUAUUCUAUUGGUUUUAAAUGGGGAAACUGAGGCUCAGGAAGGUUCAGUAUUUUGCUGGAGGUCACACAGCCAGGCAAGGGCAGAGCCAAGAUUUCAGCUUCAAUCUGUCUGGCUUGGAAGACUUCCUUAUCUUGUGGCAGCAUCUCCAGAGAUCAUGGGUCAGCCUCUUCUUGCCAGAGGCGUGUGUGUGUGCACAGACACAUACACGC
rnacentral:lncRNA from 1 species